rnacentral:rRNA from 1 species
AACGAACGCUGGCGGCAUGCCUAACACAUGCGAGUCGAACGAGACCUUCGGGUCUAGUGGCGCACGGGUGCGUAACGCGUGGGAACCUGCCCUUAGGUUCGGAAUAACUCCCCGAAAGGGGUGCUAAUACCGGAUAAUGUCUUCGGACCAAAGAUUUAUCGCCUUUGGAUGGGCCCGCGUUGGAUUAGCUAGUUGGUAGGGUAAAAGCCUACCAAGGCGACGACCCAUAGCUGGUCUGAGAGGAUGAUCAGCCACACUGGGACUGAGACACGGCCCAGACUCCUACGGGAGGCAGCAGUGGGGAAUAUUGGACAAUGGGCGAAAGCCUGAUCCAGCAAUGCCGCGUGAGUGAUGAAGGCCUUAGGGUUGUAAAGCUCUUUUACCCGGGAUGAUAAUGACAGUACCGGGAGAAUAAGCUCCGGCUAACUCCGUG